GAAGAGGCCCUGUGCAGGCAUGUGCUUCAGCUGCUGCCAGGGCACCCCGCUGCCCAGCAGCACGUCCCGUGCCCACUGCAGGUUCUGUGGACAACAACAGCCAGCACUCCCAGCUCUUCCCUCGGGCCAAGCACCAGCAGGGAAUACCUGCCAGAGCUGAGGCCUCGACCCUCAGCCUUAAACUGCUGCCUUUUUUUAGUGGGGUGCUGAAUUCAGAGCCUUUGGCCCUACCCAGCCACUGCCCUCCAUGUAAGUUCACUUUACCUCCCUGGAAAUUCCACGACUGUCAUCAAACUUGGAUAAUAGUGCUCAGUGAAUAAUCAAGAAAUUAUCAGCAGGAGACUAAAUGAUAGAUAACAACCAAAAAUUGAUAAAAGCACUAUCCCUCUAAGAGUUCAAUGCAUGAAGCUCUCUUUUGUAGCUGAGAACUAGGGACAGCUGUUGGCUCCAGGCAGAAUGUUACCAACAGAUGGGACAAGUGUUAAUUGUGAGAUUUCACUGAUGGAAGCUUUCCUUUACUUCAUUUUUUUAAUUUCAGGGUCCAAAAGUGGCAUUUGAGUUGCAUUUGGCCAGCUUUUGUACAGAAAACUUCACAAGAGAGGACAUGAAAGAAAGAGGAAGAUGUUUGGUUCAUAGAGACAAAUAAGAAUGUUGCACUCGGGUUUGUGUUCUGUGGACUGGAAAUACACUUCUGUGAGUCAUAAAUGUGAUUAAAUCAUGUCCAUCCAAGAAGCAUA